UAAGAUGGACCAACCCAUCCAUAAAAAAACAAAACAAAAAAUGGCACAUCAGCUUUCUGAUUUUGUACCGGGCCCAAUUACGACUAAUUAUAGUCGUAAGUAUGCUAUGGGGUUGCGUAAUUCCUUAUGUUGUCCUAUCCGCCGCUUGAGCCCUAUUCCAGCUAAAAAAUAUUGUCGAUUCCAGUGUUGAAUCCACACUUCAUCAUGCUUAUUCUUUGGAUCAUCAAUACUUUGCCUUGGAUAAAUGUUGUUGCUGCUCUUUUAAUCUUUCAGAAGUAAGAAUCUUCUUUUUGAUUGAAUUUGCUUCUUUCUUUUCAACGCAUUUUCUCUCUGUUAAUACUCAUUUUCUCCCUUAUGCUUGGUAUCAGCUGUGUUCUUCGGUGGAUGAAAAAUUUCUCAUUUUUUGGUGUUAAUCUAAGGGUUUUAGGUCUCUGGAGAAAGCUACAUCUCAAAGUAAGUUGUACCUUCAGCUUCCUCUCAUCUUCCCCUACUGUAGACUCCUAUUAAUUCAAUUUUGGUUGCAGUUACGGCCGGUGGGGAGAUAUUGGGAUGCUCGAAACCAUAAGAAUUUGAGUUGUAUUCUUCUUCUCAGGUGUAUUAGUUGCACUGAUCCCACAUGACCCUCUCCUUUUGUUGCGAGUCCUUUUUUAUGGUUGAGAUUGUAUAGACUAGUCAGCUUGUCUAAGUUUUUGUUGCCCUCUUGAGUUGUAAAUAGAUGCAUGUGAUAUCUGAUAGCUCUGUUAGCUAUAGCCAUCAGCCUUUUCAUCCCUUUGUUGAUGAUAGUCGUAUGUAUGGACAUUGAAGCUUGCCACUAUUUAGAAUCUUCUUUCCUUUAACUUCUAAUUGCUGGAAUGAUGUAAUACUGAACUCCCCUUUAUCUAUGGCUAGAUUUGUUAAAUGAUUAGCCAAUUGGUUCCCUUCCCUCAUGAUAUGUUGAAACUGUACUUGCUUAUCUGUCAAUAUUGUUCUAAUAUGCUCUAUAGAAUCUAGCAAAUUCCAUGGGCAUUUCCAUUCUUUAUUCAGUAUUUUCUGCAGAAUAAGAGAGUCAGUUUGAAUUAUGACCUUGUUGAAAUGUGUCUGUCCACAAUGAAUAGCUGUCUGUAGUAUAGCAGAUGUUUCUUCUUCUACAUUAGUAGUAUCCUCAAUCGUAGAGCCCUGUGUAUAUAUUAGACCCCCUCUUUCAUCUCUUAGGCAAAAAGCAUAGGAGCUCACAGCUGGACUACCUCUAGAAGCUCCAUCUGUGUUGUAUUUAAUCCACACUUCCUCUGGAAAUUUCCAUUCUACCUUUGUAAUCUUCACCUUGGAUCUUCUUUGUUCCAAUUCUUGCAGUAUUUCCGGCCAUGCAGUAGGAAAGACUUGUCUUGGGUUCCUCACUUUGAGUAAUAUCCAAUAUUUCUGGUGAUAUUGAAUAUUACUCUGUGAGUUGACACAGUCUUUUCAUCAUGCUUUGAGUUGUUCCUUCUCUUCCACAGUUUCUAAAUUAUCAUGCUGGGGAUGGAUUAAUAAUAAGUUCUAGCUCUUCCCCUCACAUCAGCAUUCCACCAAGCCAAAAUAAGUUCUCUGAGACUAUAGUCAUUCACAUUAGUACCUGCAAAAGAGGAAAAAUAGGACCAAGUCCUGUUAACAGUGCCUGAUCUCAGAAACACAGGAGAGAUGGUUUCUUGAUCAGUAAUAGUGCAACACCAGCAUCUAGUAGGACCUUCAAUUCCCCAUAUUUUCAGAUUAUCAUCAACAAGAACCUUUCCUUUCCAAAUUAUCCACAUUAAGAAUGUCAUUUUAAAUGAUAAUCCUCUAAGCCAGAUAUUUUUGAAAGUAAAAUUCUUGUCCUCUCUCUGUCUAAUGUAUUGCCAAGCUAAUUUAACUGUGAACUUUCCUGUUGAUUCAAGCUUCCAUACCGGACUAUCUUACCCUUCAUCCUGACUGGGAGUUUAACUGUAUGUAUGAUGUGAUCAGCCACCUCCUGAGGAAAUAACUGAGAAAUCACUUGAGUAUUCCAAGCUCUUUUUUGAAUUAUGUCCUUCACCGUUUGAUAUUUGUCAUCCCAUUCUCUGGUAGCCUUCAGCAUAUUAUACAAAUCCCCUACAUCAAUCCAAUUGUCAAACCAUAUACUUGUAUUCCCGAUUCUCCAUAAUAUUUGAUGUUCCACUAAAUCCCUUGCUUGCAAUAUCUUUUUCCGCACUUGUGACCCUGAUCCUGAUUUCCACACUAUCUCAUUUAGGUUCUUCUUCUUACAAUACUUGUUGUGCAUAUAUCUACUCUAUAUUGAAUCUUUUGUUCUAAAAUUCCACCAAAACUUGCAAAUAGAGCCAUAGACACAUCAUGAAUCUUUCUGAAUCCAAGUCCUCCUCCUUCCUCUGGAACAUAAAGAUUAUUCCAUUUAACCCACUGCCCAUUUCUCCCACCUAUAUGACUGGUCCAGAAAAAUUAAGCAAAUAUUUUUUGAAUUGUAGUAAUGACAUUCAAAGAAGGGCUCAUCACUGAUAGGCAGUGGAUGGGUAUACUUUGUAGGACAUGUUUGAUGAGAAUAGCUCUUCCCCCAUAUGAUAACAACUUCCUUUUCCAACCUUGUAACAUUUCACUAAUUUUAGUCAUGAUAGAUUGAUAGAAAUCCCUCUUUUUCCUCAUAUGAAAAAUAGGGCAUCCAUAGUAAGUGUAAUCACUUCUGCCAUUACUACCACACAUUGAGACACUCCCUUGUGCAAAUAAAUUACACUCAUUAUUAACCUUCUGUCCUGGCAUUCUCUCAUACCUCUCUAAUGUACCUAUCACCCUCUGCAAAGUAUGAAUUUUAGCUUUGCAUAAUGUUAUCAAGUCAUCCACAAAGGCAAAAUGAUUUACCUUUGGACUUUCUAUCGGUAUUCCAAACAACUUAAAUUCUUUGGUAAGAGCCAAAGCUUUUAAGGAUCUAGACAUCACCUCUGCAACUAAAAUAAAAAGAGUAGGGGAUAGGGGAUCCCCCCUACUUCAACCCUCUAUAAGAUUUGAAAAAUCCCUUUGGCUGCCCAUUUAGCAGAAUAGAAUAUCAAUUGUUUCCCACCAGUCUAUAUACCAUAUCUAUCAUCAAUUCACUAAAUCCAACCCUUCUUAGCACUUUAGUGAGAAACAACCUAUCAACUAUAUCCAUAGGCUUUCAUCAUGUCAAGUUUGAUUACUAAGUUAGGAAUAUUACCCCUCUUUCUUAUAUCUGCAAUGAUUUUCUGGACCACCAAAAUAUUCUCAGUAAUGCUUCUCCCUUGAACAAAACCAGCAUGUUCUUCAGAAAUGAUAUCUGGUAAAAUGCUCUUGAUUCUCUCAUGAAUAAUUCUUGAAAAAUCUUAUUAACAAAAUUACUUAAUGAAAUUGGUCUCAUAUCAUAAAAAGUAUUCACAAUUAACUUUUUGGGUAAAAGAACAAAAUUUGUAUGAGUAACAAAUUUUGGUUGCUCAAACCCACAAAAGAAAGCUAUUCCAUAUUAUGUACAUCUUUGCCUAUAAUGUCCCAAGCAUCCUAGAUAAAAGCUCCAGUCAUACCAUCUGGACCUCUUGGACUAUUUCUGUUUAGCCCUAUACCAACUUCCUUUACCUCUUGAAUUUCUAGUAUUCUAUUUAAUUCUUUAUUUUACUCUUCAUUCACCAUUGUUGGUAGUUCAUUUAGCAUAUCAAAAUCUGCAUUGUCUUUUCCUUUUGAAAAUUGUCGCUGAAAGAAAGUUAUUGCAGCUUCUGCAAUUUCAUUUUGGUGUUUCGGCCAAUCACCCUCUCCAUUCUGUAUUCUUGCUACUUUAGCCUGUUUCUUCUUCCCUUCACCACAGUAUGAAAGAACUUGGUGUUUCUUUCUCCAUCUUUAAACCACUCUAAUCUAGACUUCUAUUUUCAAAAAUCUUCUUCUCUUCUCAAUUGGAGAUUUAACUCUGCUUAUGCUUUAAACAGAUUUUCUCUAUUACUCUCUGAUGGAAGUUCCUCAAAUUGUUUCUCCUUUACUCUAAUAACUUCCUCCAGAGUAGCAAUCUCCUGGAAAACGAUACCAAAGUACUACUUACUCCACUUAGUUAAAGUAAUUUUAACCUUCUUUGACUUAUGAUGAAAUAUGAUAAAAGGAUUUCCUACUACCUUAGUUUUCCAAUUCUCCCUUAUUACCUCUAAACAUGUUUUCUCCUUCAACCACAUAUUAAGAAACCUGAAAGGUUUAGAAAUAUAUUCAUUGACAGUACUGAAAUGAAAAAGUUCUUGCAACUUUUCAUUGCACAGUACUCUAUCUAGCCUUUUAAAAAUACAUUCCUUAUCAGUCCUUCCAUUCCAUCAUGUAUAUUUACUCCCUUUAAAACCAGGAUCCUCAAAACUACAUGGAUUAAUGCAUUGUUUAAAGUCUUCUGUCUCAUCUACAGUAACUGGUAUACCCCCUAAUUUCUCCUCUUCACUUAUAAUCACAUUAAAGUCUCCACCUAUCAACCAUGGAUCAUGAAUUUUUUUAGCCAUCUCCUCCAGUGAAUCCCAUAAAAUUAGUCUCUCCACUUGAGUACAUUUAGUGUACACCAAUGUAACUAUAAUUGUAACAUUAGAUUCUUGAUUUACCAACUUCAUAGUCAGUUGUUGGUCUUUUCUUUUAUUACAGAAACAUUUACCACACCAUCAAUAAAUGCCCAUAUUUUUCCUGAUGUAUUAAAUGUUGCAUGUUGCAUUUCUAAUCUCCUCUUGUAUUCAUCAAUAUUGUGGUUAUCCUGGAAAGAUUCCAUUAAACCUAUAAAUGAAAUAUGAUGCCUUUUUGCAAUGUGAUCAGUCUGGUGAAUGUAUUUUGUGCAUUUAUUGAUCUAAUAUUCCAAAUUAGAGCAUUCAUCUAUACUUAUUCUUUAAGGAGCUUCUAGUUUGCAUUGAAGUAGCUUUAGCCCCUUUGUCUUUCCUUCUUUGUAUGCCUUGAGUAUCUUUUAAUUUUUCUAUCUGUCUAGGAGACAAAUUUCCUUCAGUUCCAAUCUUUUCUAUAUUCUUCCCCAAAUCUACUUCAUCCAAGAAUGCUUUCUCUUCAUUGUUGUAUUCAAUCUGGUGUUCUACUUGAAUUGCUAAAGGUAAAAUAUCUUCUAUUACCUUUACUUCUUCCUCCCCCUUCUUAAACUCUAUAUCUAACUGUAUUAAUUCUUCUUUCUUCUGUACUUCUUUCUGUUCUACAUUGCAUCCUUGUUGACUGAAAUAUUGUCUUUAUGUUCAACCUUUUCUGCCUGUGCUCUAUCUCCCUCUUCAUCUGGACCUACUUCCAAUGCUUUAUAUUGAGAUACUUUCGGAAAGCUAUUGGUUACCCACUCUUUAGUACUUUAUUUACUUUGUUUCUCCUCAUCUCUCUUAGCAUUAUCUUUGUCUUCUUCUUCAUGUAUCUCCUAUGUAAGCACAUCAAAGGUAUUUGCAACUGGAAUACCUAUCUGAUAUGUUCCUUCAAUAAGAAUGUGCCUAGAGUCUAAUACUUCUAUGUUACAAUCUCCUUUGAUUCCACAUUGAAUUGGAAUACUCUUUCUCAGCUCCAUUAUAUCUGAUUUCCCAUACAAAAAUUUACCAAUUACAGCAAAUUGUAAUUUUCCUGAAUGAUUAAGCUUUUUAUUUCUGAUGAUUUCCAUGUUAUACUCGGUUCACCCUAAAUGUUACCACUGGUUUAGGAGAAAUCCUUUCCAUACUGCUUUCACAAUUUCUAGGUUUCGAUAGAUUAGUGUAUGUCAUCUUCUUGUUAGCAUCUCUGUGAUUUUCCACAUUAACAUUAACUUCUUUCUCAUUCUGAGUGUUUGCCGAUGGGUCAACCCCACCGGAGGUGGUGGCCAUGAUGGCCGCUUUCGUAUAAUAGAUUUUUGUAUUAGGGUUAGGGUUUAGCUAGAGAGCGCUCAAGACCGUUACUCUUUCAUGAUUAUCGUUUUUUAUAUAUAUAUAAUGCGUAUCCUACCCACCUUUCUAUCAAGGUUCAUGUCUUUCGUAAUUCGUAAGCUGUAAUCAGGAGCAGACCAACCUUGAUACAAAAAGUGUCACCCGACACCGCUUCGUUGAAAAAAAAAAUUUAGAUAUACUUAUAAAAACUUGAAAAAAAUAAAAUAAAGGAUAAAAUUGAUAUCAAUAACACUACUUGUCGACUAGAUACUAAUUGACUCAGUUUUAAAAGGAUUAGUAUUUCCUCUGCAGUGGGCAUGGAUUUAAUUCUGAAUGAGUUGCUUUGAUUACUUGUGAAGCUUAAUCAUUCUCCUCUUAAAUUUUUAACAUUUUCACGUGAAGUUUUCUUACUUCUUUUUCCUUCUUUUUAGAUAGAAUUUUAAUAACUUGAAGAAAUUUAUUGUUUUGUUAUUUAUUACAUUUUUAUGAAAGUGCUUAGGAUUAAUAAAUUAAACUUUUAGUUUGUAAUUUUGUGAAAAAUUAAUUACUUGGUGGGUGUUAUUUUUUUUAUUAUUUAGUGGUGUAGUAUCCCAUUUUAUUGUUUGUUUUAUGUUUUUUAUUUGUCAUACAUUUAUUUGUCCCGAGCCGGGGUCUAUUAGAAAGAGUCUCUCUAUCUCAUUUUAGGUAGUGAUAUGUACUACAUAUACUUCAACUUCUUCAGACCAUAUUUUGUGGGAAUACACUGAAUAUAUUAUUAUUGUUGUUAUUGUUGAAUUAUGAAGUUUCAUUUUUAAAUUCCUGUAAAUUAAGACAAAUUAUAUAUUCGGCAGGGGUGGAGCUACAACCUAUCAAGGGUGGUCAAGCAUUCUGAACAUUCUUUACAUUGUAUAUAUAAGUAAAAUGCUGCUCUAUUUUAUUAAAUAUCAUGUGUUUUGAUAGAUCUGAAAGAAAUAGCUCAGGGGUAGAAGGUGAUUAGCAAGUGCCAAGGGCACUGCGUGCAUGGGUUCAAAACCCACCGGCUGCUAAAUACUUUUACCUUUUUAGCAUUUUCAAAGGAGCUCCUAUUUUAUUGAACACCCUUCUUAAAAUUUUUAGCUCCGUAGGUGAUUUCUUUUCAUGUCUUAUUCUCAAUAAAUACAAUUACCUGAUAUAUGUUGUUUAUGAAGGACGACAUGUAUAUAGUGGAACUAAUAAAAAUGUGUGCAAGCUGUUUCAAACAUCAUAAUUAUAAAAAAAAAUCUUUUUUUCUUUUACAAUUCGUAUGAACAUCGCGCAUUAGAAACUCGGAGAUCCUUCCGCUUGAAACUAAGAAAACACCCAAUCAAAUACUCUCUUCGUUCCAUUUUACUCGUUCGAAUUUGAUAUUGCACAUUAAGAAAAAUAAUUAAUAACAUAGCUACUUUAUCAUAGUACCCCUAUUAAAUUAAAUGAUGUUUAUAUUUUAAUUUGAAGAAAAAACAAUUAAUACUAAGGAUAAAAAAAAAAAUUAUAUUGUCUUGAUUAAUGAAAAAUAACAAAUAAAAUGAGAAAUUAAAUUAAAAAUUUUGGGGCGAGUAAAAUAGAACGGAGGGGAUACUUCUGAAAACAUGGAGGGCAACGAACCGA
rnacentral:lncRNA from 1 species